AAACUUAGGAAGUGUUUGAGAGAUGAGGUGCAAUGCUAAAGUGGUCAGUCUUUCCUCUCCAGCAAGGUCCUACCCCUGUUGCUGAGGCUACCACGGCAGCUGUACAGAAUAUACUUGCUAUUUUAAACCAGUCUUUAGGAAAGGACAGCACAGGUAGCAGUCAGGGACCAAGUUCGGGAAAGGACCUAAGCAUGGAUCAAGAAAUGGCCAGGUCUUUCCCAGGAUUUUUUAGGCGGGGUGCAAAGCGAAGUUCAUUAAGUUUGAAUAAAGCAGCAAAGGUAGCCAAGCACUGGAAUCCAUUUAAUUUUUCAGUUUUUCUACUACACAAAAAUUGUGAGACAAAACCGUCACCAGUUCAGGAGCUACAGCACAUGCAGGCUGGUCUGGGGAAAAGAGCUCUUGCCAUGCCCGAAGACAUGACCCAUACACAGGUCUCCAACCUGUUUAAAAAUACCUAUCCAAAGAUGAUGACAAUCACUGGAGGAUGGCUUCUCUAUAAAUCAGCUGGUGGACAUGGAAGGCGGAAUUUAUCUGUUGUACCCCCUGAAUCUGAGGGAUACACAGGAAGUACUAUCAGAAGUGCCUCUGGAGCAGGAAAAACCAUGCUGUACAUUGCUCCUUUACAGGAAGAAUUUGACCUAGAACCUCUUCCUGAUAAUUCCCAGGAGUUUUCACACAUGCCAAAGGCUGAAUGCAAGAAUUGCUUUAAGAUUUUGCCUUUACAGAUUCUUGCCCUCCAUGUAAAGCAAUGUAAUGCCUCGAAAUCUGACAAACCUUCAGAUUCUGAGCCAGAGGUAACUGAGGUGGUUCUUUCUUGUGAGAAGAACACAAAAGAAGGAAAAUGCCCUAUAUGUCAGAAGAAUUAUCCAGCAAUGGAACUGGAACUACAUGCCAGUGUUUGUGGGGACUGGGCAAGUCCACUGUCCUGUCGGGGUGGCAGUCCUGUUGGGUUGGAGGAGCAGCAAAAUGAGAAAAUUACAUGUGAGGAGGAUGUCCUACGAUGGCUGGCGACUCGGGUUGAUAAAAGCAAAGAGUUCUGCAUCUGUGUGUCUCGAAUGAAUCUCCUGGAACGCGGACUGAUGCUGUGGCAGCGACAGAAGAACAGCUCUCCAGUCAACCUCUUGAAGGUGACGUUCAUAGGAGAGGCAGGGAUCGACACUGGUGCUUUGCGGAAAGAAUUUUUGACAGAGAUGGUUGCUGGCUUAGAAACUCUGCUUUUCGAGGGAGAGGAUGGCAAGGGAAAAAUGCCCAAAUACUCUUUAAAUGACCUUGACAGUGGCAUUUUCCGUGUUGCUGGGGAAAUUUUUGCUGCAAGUCUUGCACAGGGUGGUCCAGCACCAGCGUUUUUACAAGAAUGGUGCUACGAUUUCCUUUUGACGGGAGAUCUAAAAAACAUUACAAGAAACGAUGUACAUGACAUGGAAUUUUCAUCUUUGAUCAAGAUGGUUGAGGAAUCUUCAGAUCUGUCAUCUUGCACAGAACAGAUUAUCAGCUGUGGCUAUACAGGGCCUAUUAACGAAGAAAACAAAGACAAAAUAACAAGGUUCAUGUUAUAUUCAUAGCAAUUCUGCUGCACUCGGCCGCAAGACGAACAGUCAUGUUGAGGCAACUUCGUGAGGGACUACAACUUUAUGGCCUUAUAGAUGUCAUGGAAAGGAACAGAGAGCUGUGCCGGGGCCUAUUUGUGGCUGGUGCUGACCAUAAUGUGGAUUCUUACUACAUUGUGUCACACUUGGCCCCAACAAUGAGCGAAACUGGUUCCCAAAGACAUGCAAGAGAGACACAAAUCCUAAAUAACUUCCAGGAUUUUCUGCAAGAGCUUGAGGACGGAACUGCUGAGGAUGCCCUUUCUGUCCCUGAAGUGAUGCAGUGGUUGACUGGCCAGUCACACAGGCACCUACUUCUUUCAGAGAGAGAGAACUUUAAAAUCACAGUACACUUCGACCACACGUGUAUGGAAAGGAUGCCAAGCCACACCAUUUGUUAUCCAGUUGUUAGUGCAUGUGCACAGGCCAUCACAUUUCCCACUGCACAUUGUGUGCAUUACUCAGAUUUCAAAAACAAUGUGGCAACAGCAAUCAAAUGUGGUGCAGGCUUUCACAGGCUGUAAAUGUAUUAGUUAAGGAUUUCAGGUUUUAAUGUACAGCUUCUUUACAAUUUAACAUUUACAACCAAUUAAAAACAGUUCUUAAUGCAAAACUGUGAAACUGAUAUUAAAUGUAAACUGUCACAGUUGUAGCCUGUUACUAAUAAACAAUCUGUUAUACACAA